rnacentral:rRNA from 1 species
GACGAACGCUGGCGGCGUGCUUAACACAUGCAAGUCGAACGAAGUGGCGAAAGGGUGAGUAACGCGUAAUCAACCUGCCCUUCAGAGGGGAACAACAGUUGGAAACGACUUCUAAUACCGCAUACUGAAGGAGGAGCUUCCGUUGGAUUAGCUAGUUGGCGGGGUAACGGCCCACCAAGGCGAAGAUCAGUAGCCGGUCUGAGAGGGUGAACGGCCACAUUGGGACGGAGACACGGCCCAGACUCCUACGGGAGGCAGCAGUGGGGAAUCUUCCGCAAUGGACGAAAGUCUGACGAAGCAACGCCGCGUGAGUGAUGACGGCCUUCGGGUUGUAAAGCUCUGUUAAGCGGGACGCGGUACCGGAAUAGAAAGCCACGGCUAACUACGUGCCAGCAGCCGCGGUAAUUC